UACAGAGGGUGCAAGCGUUAAUCGGAAUUACUGGGCGUAAAGCGCACGUAGGCGGAUUUGUAAGUCAGGGGUGAAAUCCCGGGGCUCAACCUCGGAACUGCCUUUGAUACUGCAAAUCUCGAGUUCGGAAGAGGUGAGUGGAAUUCCUAGUGUAGAGGUGAAAUUCGUAGAUAUUAGGAAGAACACCAGUGGCGAAGGCGGCUCACUGGUCCGGUACUGACGCUGAGGUGCGAAAGCGUGGGGAGCAAACAGG
rnacentral:rRNA from 1 species